GAAAAUCAUUCUCCUGACCCCACUUUCCCGGAGUCCUCCAGGUAACAAGGUUUCUUCCAUUUUUUGUGGAUCCCCUGCUCUUUGUGUGCUCAUGCAAGGCAGCAUGCUAUGGCGUGACUUAGUUUAUAUCUCAGGCUCCCACUUGUGACCAGUGUCUCUGAUGCUGCGGCCACGGAGAUGAUUGUCAGUGACACCAGAACUCCUUGCUCGUGGGACCCCUGUGGGUGGUUUUCUGCUGGCUGUCAGCUCUCCUUGAACCUCGGAUAUGUUCAGUUGGAAUGAGGAAAGAGUUACGUGUUCCUCUUAUUAGAAAUGAAAUAGGGAACAAAGAAUUACAAUCCAACAUCUACUGCACUGAGUCACAGCAACUGCUCAGUGAACGCAGUGAGAUGAACACCCAGGCUGGCUACGGAGUGAUCAAGACAAGCUGUGCAGCUGUAGGCCGAAGAGAAGGAAAUGGACCUGUAGAGAGGAAACCCUUGACAAACAUCACAGAAGGUGCCCCCAGACAAGGAAAUCUGACACAGUUUUAGAGCGAACUCAAUCGGAAGCUGUGAUUUGUAGGGUCAAAGACAUGCAUCACCAAGAUGCCUCUGAGGUGGACACUGGAGAUUCAAACACCGGUCUGUAUGUGCGCAGAAAGUGUUAUCUGCCGAGGCAUUUCCACAACCUGAAAUUCUUAUUUUUAAAUUUAAAAAGUUCAACAAGUCUUUCUGCCUAAGACACCUCUUUCUUUGUCUUGUGGUGGCACUCCAAAGACAUGAGAAUAAUUGGAGACAGGUAAACCUGCCAGGUUUCCAUUCAGGUCUGAAGAGUGAGACAUCUGUAGUGUGUAUGUCUUCUUCAACUGGCUGUAUGCAUUUAUUCAAAGGUUAAACACUGGUCUGGGGUGUUUUGUUUUGUUUGUUUCCUUUUUUCAAGAAGGUUAAUGACACCAAAAAUCCAAGACAUGACAGGGAAGCCUCAGUGAUGCUUUAGGACACUCUGCUUUCUGGGAGACAAAUUCUUCCUUCAUCAGAAUCGCCAGGAGAAACUUUCCCUUCUUUUUAGUACUAGCAUCUUCCUAAGUAGCUCAAGUCAGCCUCAAACUUGUUACCGUCCUGCCUCUGCCUCCUGAGUGCUGCAAUCACAGGCUAUGCCAGCUGAAGAAGGAAGAUGUUUUAUAUGUGAUUUUUUUUUUAGGACUUCAGAAUAUGAUUCUUUAUAACAAUGUAACAUGAGACCCAUCGUUUCCACUUUAACAUUAGUACAGUAGAAAAGUUGGAAACCGUGUCUAGGAAUAGGUGUCACACAUAUGAAAGAUGACUGACAGCUAGAACUUACUGCCUCAUGAAAAAUAUUAAAGUUGGAAAGUGAUACACUUUUUAUAAUACACAACACAAAGCUAUUGGACUUGUACUGUUUCCACCACAUUCUAUGACAUCUAUCUGCAUGUACCAUACU